GAAUCUUCCGCAAUGGACGAAAGUCUGACGGAGCAACGCCGCGUGAGUGAAGAAGGUCUUCGGAUCGUAAAACUCUGUUGUCGGAGAAGAACAAGUAGGAGAGUAACUUUUCCUACCUUGACGUUACCCGACCACAACGCCACGACUAACUACGAGCCAGCAGCCGCGGUAAUACGUAGGUGGCAAGCGUUGUCCGGAUUUAUUGAUCGUAAAGCGAGCUCAGGUGGUUCCUUAAGUCUGAUGUGAAAGCCAACGGCUCAACCGUGGAAGGUCAUUGUAAACUGUGGAACUUGAAUGCAGAAGAGGAGAGUGGAAUUCCAUGUGUAGCGUUGAAAUGCGUAGAUAUAUGGAGGAACACCAGUGGCGAAGGCGACUCUCUGGUCUGUUAUUGACACUGAGGCUCGAAAGCGUGGGGAGCAAAC
rnacentral:rRNA from 1 species